rnacentral:rRNA from 1 species
GUAGGUGGCAAGCGUUGUCCGGAAUUAUUGGGGCGUAAAGCGCACGCAGGCGGUUCUUUAAGUCUGAUGUGAAAGCCCACGGGCUCAACCGUGGAGGGUCAUUGGAAACUGGAGAACUUGAGUACAGAAGAGGAAAGCGGAAUUCCACGUGUAGCGGUGAAAUGCGUAGAGAUGUGGAGGAACACCAGUGGCGAAGGCGGCUUUCUGGUCUGUAACUGACGCUGAGGCGCGAAAGCGUGGGGAGCAAACAGGAUUAGAUACCCUGGUAGUCCACGCCGUAAACGAUGAGUGCUAAGUGUUAGGGGGUUUCCGCCCCUUAGUGCUGCAGCUAACGCAUUAAGCACUCCGCCUGGGGAGUACGGCCGCAAAGGCUG